UGGGGAAUAUUGGACAAUGGGCGGAAGCCUGAUCCAGCCAUGCCGCGUGUGUGAAGAAGGCCUUUUGGUUGUAAAGCACUUUAAGCGAGGAGGAGGCUACUUGGAUUAAUACUCUAGGAUAGUGGACGUUACUCGCAGAAUAAGCACCGGCUGACUCUGUGCCAGCAGCCGCGGUAAUACAGAGGGUGCGAGCGUUAAUCGGAUUUACUGGGCGUAAAGCGUGCGUAGGCGGCUUCUUAAGUCGGAUGUGAAAUCCCUGAGCUUAACUUAGGAAUUGCAUUCGAUACUGGGAAGCUAGAGUAUGGGAGAGGAUGGUAGAAUUCCAGGUGUAGCUGUGAAAUGCGUAGAGAUCUGGAGGAAUACCGAUGGCGAAGGCAGCCAUCUGGCCUAAUACUGACGCUGAGGUACGAAAGCAUGGGGAGCAAACAGG
rnacentral:rRNA from 1 species